rnacentral:rRNA from 1 species
CAGGCUUAACACAUGCAAGUCGAGGGGCAGCAUUUUAGUUUGCUUGCAAACUGAAGAUGGCGACCGGCGCACGGGUGAGUAACACGUAUCCAACCUGCCGAUAACUCCGGAAUAGCCUUUCGAAAGAAAGAUUAAUACCGGAUAGUAUACGAAUAUCGCAUGAUAUUUUUAUUAAAGAAUUUCGGUUAUCGAUGGGGAUGCGUUCCAUUAGUUUGUUGGCGGGGUAACGGCCCACCAAGACUACGAUGGAUAGGGGUUCUGAGAGGAAGGUCCCCCACAUUGGAACUGAGACACGGUCCAAACUCCUACGGGAGGCAGCAGUGAGGAAUAUUGGUCAAUGGGCGAGAGCCUGAACCAGCCAAGUAGCGUGAAGGAUGAAGGCUCUAUGGGUCGUAAACUUCUUUUAUAUGGGAAUAAAGUUUUCCACGUGUGGAAUUUUGUAUGUACCAUAUGAAUAAGGAUCGGCUAACUCCGUGCCAGCAGCCGCGGUAAUACGGAGGAUCCGAGCGUUAUCCGGAUUUAUUGGGUUUAAAGGGAGCGUAGGUGGAUUGUUAAGUCAGUUGUGAAAGUUUGCGGCUCAACCGUAAAAUUGCAGUUGAAACUGGGAGUCUUGAGUACAGUAGAGGUGGGCGGAAUUCGUGGUGUAGCGGUGAAAUGCUUAGAUAUCACGAAGAACUCCGAUUGCGAAGGCAGCUCACUAGACUGUCACUGACACUGAUGCUCGAAAGUGUGGGUAUCAAACAGGAUUAGAUACCCUGGUAGUCCACACAGUAAACGAUGAAUACUCGCUGUUUGCGAUAUACAGUAAGCGGCCAAGCGAAAGCAUUAAGUAUUCCACCUGGGGAGUACGCCGGCAACAGUGAAACUCAAAGGAAUUGACGGGGGCCCGCACAAGCGGAGGAACAUGUGGUUUAAUUCGAUGAUACGCGAGGAACCUUACCCGGGCUUAAAUUGCAACAGAAUAUAUUGGAAACAGUAUAGCCGUAAGGCUGUUGUGAAGGUGCUGCAUGGUUGUCGUCAGCUCGUGCCGUGAGGUGUCGGCUUAAGUGCCAUAACGAGCGCAACCCUUAUCUUUAGUUACUAACAGGUCAUGCUGAGGACUCUAGAGAGACUGCCGUCGUAAGAUGUGAGGAAGGUGGGGAUGACGUCAAAUCAGCACGGCCCUUACGUCCGGGGCUACACACGUGUUACAAUGGGGGGUACAGAAGGCGGCUACCUGGUGACAGGAUGCUAAUCCCAAAAACCUCUCUCAGUUCGGAUCGAAGUCUGCAACCCGACUUCGUGAAGCUGGAUUCGCUAGUAAUCGCGCAUCAGCCAUGGCGCGGUGAAUACGUUCCCGGGCCUUGUACACACCGCCCGUCAAGCCGUGAAAGCCGGGGGUACCUGAAGUACGUAACCGCAAGGAGCGUCCUAGGGUAAAACUGGUAAUUGGGGCUAAGUCAUAACA